CACGUCCUGCCCCGUCUGCUCACUGCACGGUCGCAGAGGAGCAGCUCGUCCCGCGGGAAAGCCGGCUUUUCGAAGAGCGAGCUGCCGCUCCUGCUGAAAGCUCUGCCAGCGCCAGCUGUCGGCCGUGACAGGGGCAGGCGGCGCCGAGCUCCUGCCCCAGCCCGGCAGCGCCAGAGCCAGGCGGGGGGAGCGGGGGCAGCCGCAGGGAAACCUCCGCGCACAGCCCCGGGACAAGCCCGAGGGCCGGGCCCGGGGAGAGGAAAAUUCCAGCCCGGGACAGCAGCCGCUGUCAGCCCGCCGGGGCCGGGUGGGUUCGGGCAGGCGGAGGGAGGAGCCGGGCCGGGAACAGGGAGCCUCUGUUUCCCCGCCGGCUGCCGGAGCGGGAAAGGUUCCGCGUUUCAAGUUCUUCACAGAGAAGUUGUGUGUGUGGUUUUUUUUUUAAAAAGGUUUUAUUACACCCCCCUCCCGCCCCGUUCUCCGCCCAAGGUGUGGUUCAGCGAGCGGCCGCCCCGGCGGAGCCGGAGCCGUGUGUGCGUGGCCGCCGCCGCCCCACGGGCGCGCUGUGGAAGCAGCCGGGGAAUGCCUGGGCUCGGGGGCGAGGCGGCGCCGCGGGCGGCAGAGCGGGGCCGCCUUUCCCGGCCCUCCUCGAGCAGGUGGGGCGGGGCCGGGCGGCCGCUCGCCUCGCCGCAGGCAUGGCCGCCCCGCCGCCGCCGCCCUCAGGGUAAGCGCCGCUCCCGCCGGGGCCGGGGGCCGGAGCCGGCUGCGGGCGCCCCGCGGGAGGAGGGGACGGGACGGGACGGGACGGGAUGGGAUGGGAUGGGGGGGGUCGCGGGUUCUGCCCCCGGGUGGGGGCGUCGGCAGCGCCGUGCUCGUGGCCGCCCAGCGACCGUUAAACGGCCGCCGGCGCGGCGGGAAGGGGAGGGCGGAGAGCGCGGCCCUGCCUUCCUCGACGGCACCCGGCCGUUCGCCGCCCCCGAAAGCGGGCUCCCGGCGGGACCAGCGCUCGCCCCUCGGUGA
rnacentral:lncRNA from 1 species